rnacentral:lncRNA from 1 species
AUUGAUAAUGUGAUUAUUAAUUUGUCUAUGAUCAUUAUGCUUUUAGGAGAUUAUUGAAUAUCUGUAAUUCUGCUUUCUACCUGUUACACUUGUGUUAAUUGGUUUAAGUAGAGAGUACUGAAUCUUCUGAAUUGCAUAACUGCCUGUCUUGCUAUUGUCUUAUCUUUGAUUGUUUGCCAUGUGUAUUCAACAUCAUGUCUGCUUAUUUUCAUGUCAUGAAUGCAUGUCUUUGUACUUGCAUUGAUUUUAGAAAAGCAUGUUUGAGAAUCACAUUAGGGCAAUAUCUAGAUAAGAAUUAGCAUGUUAAGGUUGCUUCUGUUGUUACCACUGUUAAAGAAAAAUCUCCUAAUCCAUCCGGACCCAGUUAUGAUUGGG